rnacentral:lncRNA from 1 species
AUUAAAAAGAUCAUUUUUUCUUCUUCAACAUGUUGAAUUCGAGCAUUGUGUCUCUCUUCCUAGGUACGAUCCUCGUAAUCUCUGUCGUUGUGCCUACCCUACAAGCUGAGGAGGUCGGUGAAUACGCACCUGUUGUCUCAAAGGUCACAAACCAUCUCCCAAGUUCUGCAAGUCGACGAAAUAUUGCUUUGAUGUAAAUUGUAGUUUGGCAAACCCUGAAUGUAGUUUGCAUCCAUAUAAUUGCGAUUGUCAUGAAAAUUGCUAGUAAUUAAACCUUCUCCAAAAAACAAUUAUCCUCAUUCAAAGAUCGAUCAAUCGAUCGAGAAGGGAUCAUGAAUAACUAAAUAAGCAUUGUGAUCG